rnacentral:tRNA from 1 species
GUGCUCGGCUGGGAUUUGAACCCAGGACUCUUGUAUGCUAGACUAGCGCUUUACCA